CAGUUGCUUGCCCCCCCUGUCUCGUACGCCUGUCAAAUAAAUGAUGGAAACCUCGUGUUAUUCGGCAGGUGCUCUGAUGAUAAAGCGCGCAUCAAAACAAGUCAGUUUUAUAGAGUUAGGAGAGUUGUAUGAAUUAAAUGAUAUAUGGCAGUUCAGUACACUAAAAGAUGUUGAAAAGCCUGAAAUGAAUGACUUUAAACAUUUCUAUUUAUUAUAGUAUUAAAAAUAAUAAGAGUAAUUAUGGACCUCGAGUACUUGUAUAUAAAUGAGAAUUAUAGAUGUUACCAUAAUAUUGUGUCAGAAUUGUGAAAAUUAAAAAUAAAACAAGAAGCAUUGAAACUCAGGC